GUCAGGGUUGGGAUUAGGGUUAGGGUUGGGGUCAGAGUCAGGGUCACAGGGUUGUGGUUGGGGCUUUGGGGUCAGGGUUGGGGUUAGGUUUACAGUUAGGGUUGGGGUGACAGGGUUAAGGUUGGAAUUAGGGUUGGGGUCAGAACCAGGGUCCCAGGGUUAUGGUUAGAAUUUAGGGGUCAGGGUUGGGGUCACAGGGUUGUGGUUAGGGUUAGAGUUGGGAUUGGGGUCAGGGUUGGGGUCACAGUUAGGGUUAAGUUUGGGAUUAGGGUUAGGGUCAGAGUCAGGGUCACAGGGCUGUGGUUAGGGCUUUGGGGUCAGGAUUGGGGUGACAGGGCUAAGGUUUGAAUUAGGCUUAGGGUCAGAGUCAGGGUCACAGGGUUGUGGUUAGGGUUACAGUUAGAGUUGGGGUCACUGUUAGGGUUAAGGUUGGGAUGAGGUUUAGGGUUAGGAUUGGGGUGAGGGUCAGAGUUAGGAUCACAGGGUUAUGGUUAGGGCUUGGGGUCAGGAUUGGGGUCAGGUUUACAGUUGGGUUUGGGGUUGGGGUCACAGGGUUAAGGUUGGGAUUAUGCUCAGGGUCGCAGGGUUAUGGUUAGAAUUUGGGGGGCAGGCUUGGGGUCACAGGGUUGUGGUUAGGGUUAGAGUGGGAUUGGGGUCAGGGUUGGGGUCACAGGGUUAAGGUUGGGAUUAUGCUUAGGGUUAGGAUUGGGGUGAGGGUCAGAGUUAGGAUCACAGGGUUAUGGUUAGAGUUUUGGGGUCAGGGUUGGGGUCAGGCUUACAGCUAGGUUUGGGGUGACAGGGUUAAGGUUGGGAUUAGGGUUAGGGUUGGGGUCAGAGUCAGGGUCACAGGGUUGUGGUCAGGGUUAGAGUUGGGAUUGGGGUCAGGGUUGGGGUCACAGCGUUAACGCUGGAUUAGGUUUAAGGUUAGAGUCACAGGGUUAUGGUUGGGGUUAGAGUUUUGGGGUCAGGUUUACAGUUAGGGUUGGGGUCAGGCUCAUGGGGUUAUGGUUAGGGCUUUGGGGUCAGGGUUGGGGUCACAGGGUUAUGGUUAUGGUUAGAGUUUUGGGGUCAGGGUUGGGAUCAGGUUUACAGUUAGGGUUGGGGUCACAGGGUUAAGGUUGGGGGUUGGGGUCAGGGUUGGGGUCACAGGGUUGUGGUUGGGGUUAGAGUUUUGGGGUCAGGGCUGGGGUCAGGUUUACAGUUAGGGUUGGGGUCAUGGGGUUGGGCUCACAGGGUUGUGAUUGGGGUUAGAGUUUUGGGGUCAGGUUUACAGUUAGGGUUGGGGUCAGGCUCAUGGGGUUAUGGUUAGGGCUUUGGGGUCAGGGUUGGGGUCACAGGGUUAUGGUUAGGGUUAGAGUUUUGGGGUCAGGGUUGGGGUCAGGUUUACAGUUAGGGUUGGGGUCAUGGGGUUGGGCUCACAGGGUUGUGAUUGGGGUUAGAGUUUUGGGGUCAGGUUUACAGUUAGGGUUGGGGUCAGGGUCGUGGGGUUAUGGUUAGGGCUUUGGGGUCAGGGUUGGGGUCAGGUUCUCAGCCCAGGACAAGAGCGUGUGCCCGAGGCACUGUGAAGCUGACCCCCACCAGCUGCACAGAGCUUGCCCAUUAACUGGUGGUGCUGCGAUGGCCCAGCUCCCCUCGUUUGCUGAGGCCUGUGGUCUCUGCUGGGGGGAAAGAAGCUGCGAGAGCCCCAGAUGGGAGCCGGGCUUCAACGCUGCUGCGACUCAGGAUGGGAGGCGGCCGGGAGGGCGAUCAGCUCAGCUCCCCGGCGCAGCUCCGCACAGCCUCCAAGCGGGGCGUCGAAAACGGAGCAAACCAUUGCAAAACGUCACCCAAAACAACACCCAGAAAAAGCAAUCGGUCCUCCCGGAUCACCAACCUGAAA